UGACGGAGCAACGCCGCGUGAGUGAUGAAGGCUUUCGGGUCGUAAAACUCUGUUGUUAGGGAAGAACAAGUACAAGAGUAACUGCUUGUACCUUGACGGUACCUAACCAGAAAGCCACGGCUAACUACGUGCCAGCAGCCGCGGUAAUACGUAGGUGGCAAGCGUUAUCCGGAAUUAUUGGGCGUAAAGCGCGCGCAGGCGGUUUCUUAAGUCUGAUGUGAAAGCCCACGGCUCAACCGUGGAGGGUCAUUGGAAACUGGGGAACUUGAGUGCAGAAGAGAAAAGCGGAAUUCCACGUGUAGCGGUGAAAUGCGUAGAGAUGUGGAGGAACACCAGUGGCGAAGGCGGCUUUUUGGUCUGUAACUGACGCUGAGGCGCGAAAGCGUGGGGAGCAAACAGGAUUAGAUACCCUGGUAGUCCACGCCGUAAACGAUGAGUGCUAAGUGUUAGAGGGUUUCCGCCCUUUAGUGCUGCAGCUAACGCAUUAAGCAC
rnacentral:rRNA from 2 species